GCUUAUCACCAUUCCAGAUUGAAUAUACCCGGAUCUCGUCUGAUCUCGGAAGUCAAGCAAUCUCGGGCUUUGGUUAGUACUUGGAUGGGUGACCGCCUUGGGAAUACCAAAGUGUGAAUAAGCA
rnacentral:rRNA from 1 species